UUGAAUCAUCACUAUAGUAACACUGAUAAUGCCACUACUUGGUAUAAUCUAAGUUGAAACAAGAUCUUUUGAACAAAAUAUUUGAAGAUUAACUAUGAGAAUAAAGAGUUUGCAAUAUGUAAAACUAUUUAGUCUUGUUAAUGGGCUUUCCCAUGUGUUCAUAGGUCCAUUUUUGGAUUCUCAAACCAACCAUAUGUGGCAAAACAGUUGUAGAAGUCCAAGUUGUUUAUAUGAAUUAUUCUACAAUUUGCAUUUCAUUUAUUAAGUAUGUCAUAUUUCCUUGGUUUGUCUAACUUUUUUGUAAGUUCUUGUCCAUCUUGGAGUUGAAAGGGUGGGAGUUUCCACCAUCAAGCCGGAAGUUCUUAGAACUUGAUGUGGGAUUUGAACAAUUGGAUUUCCCUGGAAUUUGCUGCUUUCUACAGAGCUCACUGGAUCUUGAGACAUUGGUCAUUGAUUGGUACGAUGUUGAAUCUGGAGACUUGCUGUCAAGGUACACAAAUGAGGACGAACAGAUCAGGAGGUUUGAGUCACAUAAUUUUAAUGGCUCAUUUCCCUAUCUGAAGACCAUCAAGAUCCUUAACUUGAAUGGAUCUGUGCUACCAUUGGUAAAAUAUUUGCUCAACCAUGCAAUUGUGCUAGAAAAGUUUGACAUUGUUGCCGCAUUCCAAGGGAGUGAUGCAUCUCCGAAUUAUGUUACAAUGGCACAGGAGCUCCUAAGCUAUCCAAUAUCCUCUCCGCACGCUUCAGUUGUCUUUUCUUAUAGAUAACUUUGGUCCCCUAUUGUUUGUAUUAAUCGCAACAUAUUUGAGAUCUAUAACUUUAUGUUUGAAACUGGCCGGUUUGAGCUGUUAGAAAAGGCAUGGAUUGCACUUGUCAAUGUCCAAGGAGUUAUUAGUAGUUCUUCAUGUCUAAGUCCCCCUAAUAGUGAUGGAAGAAAGUGUGCUCUAAUGUUUUGUAAUUUCUAUUCAUUUUGCUAAAUUGUGAUCUUCUUUCUAUACUAUGAAACUUUUAAGUCGAAAACCAGUUUGCCAAAAUAGUACUGCAAAGAUUCAUUA